GGCAUGCAUUGCGUCUCAAACCAGAUUUCAUCAAUGGUUAUAUUAACCUGGCAGCCGCUUUGGUAGCAGCAGGUGACAUGGAAGGGGCAGUACAAGCUUACAUCUCUGCUCUUCAGUACAAUCCUGAUUUGUACUGUGUUCGCAGUGACCUGGGGAACCUGCUCAAAGCCCUGGGUCGCUUGGAAGGAGCCAAGGCAUGUUAUUUGAAAGCAAUGGAGACGCAACCGAACUUUGCAGUAGCUUGGAGUAAUCUUGGCUGUGUUUUCAAUGCACAAGGGGAGAUUUGGCUUGCAAUUCAUCACUUUGAAAAGGCUGUCACCCUUGACCCCAAUUUUCUGGAUGCUUAUAUCAAUUUAGGAAAUGUCUUGCAAGAGGCACGGAUUUUUGACAGAGCUGUGGCAGCUUACCUUUGUGCCCUAAGCUUGAGCCCAAAUCAUGCAGUGGUACAUGCCAACCUGGCUUGUGUAUAUUAUGAGCAAGGCCUGAUGGAUCUGGCAGUAGACACCUACAGGCGAGCUAUUGAAUUGCAACCACAUUUCCCUGAUGCUUACUGCAACCUAGCCAACGCUCUGGAAGAGAAGGGCAGUGUUGCCGAAGCAGAAGAGUGUUAUAAUACAGCUCUGCGGCUGUGUCCCACCCAUGCAGACUCUCUGAAUAACCUAGCCAAUAUCAAAGGAGACCAGGGAAACUUUGAAGAGGCAGUUCGCUUGUAUUGUAAAGCAUUAGAAGUCUUCCCAGAGUUUGCUGUUGCCCAUUCAAAUUUAGCAAGUGUAUUGCAGCAGCAGGGAAAACUGCAGGAAGCUCUGAUGCAUUAUAAGGAGGCUGUUCGAAUCAGUCCUACCUUUGCUGAUGCCUACUGUAACAUGGGAGACACUCUAAAGGAGAUGCAGGAUGUUCAGGGAGCCUUGCAGUGUUAUACUCGUGCCAUUCAGAUUAACCCUGCACUUGCGGAUGCCCACAGCAAUCUGGCUUCCAUUCACAAGUAUUCAGGGAAUAUUCCAGAAGCAAUUGCUUCUUAUCGCACUGCUCUGAAGCUUGAACCUGAUUUUCCUGACGCUUAUUGUGAUUUGGCUCAUUGCCUGCAGAUUGUCUGUGAUUGGACAGACUAUGAUGAGCGAAUGAAGAAGUUGGUCAGCAUUGUGGCUGACCAGCUGGAGAAGAAUAGGUUGCCUUCUGUGCAGCCUCAUCAUAGUAUGCUCUAUCCUCUUUCUCAUGGCUUCAGGAAGGCUAUUGCUGAGAGCCACGGGAACCUCUGCUUGGAUGAGAUCAGUGUCUUUCAUAAACCACCAUACGAACAUCCAAAAGACUUGAAGCUCAGUGAUGGUCGACUGCAUGUAGGAUAUGUGAGUUCUGACUUUGGGAAUCAUCCUACUUCUCAUCUUAUGCAGUCUAUUCCAGGCAUGCACAAUCCUGAUAAAUUUGAGGUAUUCUGUUAUGCCCUGAGCCCAGAUGAUGGCACAAACUUCCAAGCGAAGGUGAUGGCAGAAGCCCAUCAUUUCAUUGAUCUUUCUCAGAUUCCAUGCAAUGGGAAAGCAGCUGAUCGCAUCCAUCAAGAUGGUAUACACAGCCUUGUAAAUAUGAAUGGUUAUACCAGGGGUGCUCGAAAUGAACUCUUUGCUCUCAGGCCAGCUCCUAUUCAGGCAAUGUGGCUGGGCUACCCUGGGACCAGUGGCGUGCUUUUCAUGGAUUAUAUCAUCACUGAUCAGGAAACUUCACCUGCUGAAGUUGCUGAGCAGUAUUCUGAGAAAGUGGCUUAUAUGCCCCAUACUUUCUUUAUUGGUGAUCAUGCUAAUAUGUUCCCUCACCUGAAGAAGAAGGCAGUCAUCGAUUUUAAGUCCAAUGGGCACAUUUGUGACAAUCGGAUUGUGCUGAAUGGCAUCGACCUCAAAGCAUUUCUUGAUAGUCUCCCAGAUGUGCAGAUUGUCAAGAUGAAAUGUCCUGAUGGAGGAGACAACGCAGACAGCAGUAAUACGGCUCUUAAUAUGCCUGUCACUCCUAUGAAUACUAUUGCAGAGGCAGUUAUUGAAAUGAUUAACAGAGGACAAAUUCAGAUAACAAUUAAUGGAUUCAGUCUUAGCAAUGGACUGGCAACUACCCAGAUCAACAUCAAGGCUGCCACUGGAGAGGAGGUUCCCCGUACCAUUAUUGUAACCACACGUUCUCAGUACGGGUUACCGGAAGAUGCCAUUGUGUACUGUAACUUCAAUCAGUUAUAUAAAAUUGACCCAUCUACUUUGCAGAUGUGGGCAAAUAUUCUGAAGCGUGUUCCCAAUAGUGUACUGUGGCUGUUGCGUUUUCCAGCAGUAGGAGAACCUAAUAUUCAACAGUAUGCACAAAAUAUGGGCCUUCCCCAGAAGCGUAUCAUUUUUUCACCUGUUGCUCCUAAGGAGGAACAUGUUCGGAGAGGCCAGCUGGCUGAUGUCUGCUUGGACACUCCACUCUGUAAUGGACACACCACAGGGAUGGAUGUCCUUUGGUCAGGGACACCCGUGGUGACUAUGCCAGGAGAGACUCUUGCUUCCCGAGUUGCAGCUUCCCAGCUCACUUGUUUAGGCUGUCUUGAGCUUAUUGCUCAAAAUAGACAAGAAUAUGAAGACAUAGCUGUGAAACUGGGAACUGAUCUAGAAUACCUGAAGAAAAUUCGUGGCAAAGUCUGGAAGCAGAGAACAUCUAGCCCUCUGUUCAACACCAAACAAUACACAAUGGACCUAGAGCGGCUCUAUCUACAGAUGUGGGAGCAUUACGCAGCUGGCAACAAACCUGAUCACAUGAUUAAGCCUGUUGAAGUCACUGAGUCGGCCUAAAUAAUGACUGUGUGCACAGGAGAAUUACCCUGUACCUGAGCCUCAACCUUCUGGGGGAAAGGGAACUACUUUUUCCUUAUCUGUACAAUACCAUGCUGCAGAUGGGUGACAGACAAUGAUAAGAAAUAGCACAGCCAGACUUGCUUCCUGCAUGAUCAUGAUCACGAUAGGGAGAGACACAAGAGAUGGGAAACUGCUGUUCCACAAGGAGUCUCCAUAGAAUUUUGCAGCAGCCAGGUGUCUGGAAGGUCUGGAAGUGAGUCCUGUUCUACCUUUUUCUUUCAGCAGAAAUGAAAUCCCAGGUAAGUAUAAGUAUUCAAAUAUUUGAUCAGUAAGUCACAGUUAUCUCCAGUACAUUAAAUAACUUUCAUCAAAAAACAUGUUAUAGGUAAAAAGCUCUGAAGGACCAGCUAUGUAUAUGAUAAUUAUGUUUCAGACCUUCUAGGGUAUUAUAUAUAAUAACUUGUCUUCUGGACGUGGUCUUGAAGUCUUUAUGGAUUCAGUCUCAGUAGUAGCGAACUGCACUGCUACUUGGUUUGGAGUACAAAUUAGACUUUAGCCCUCCUGGAGGUUGAGUUUUUGGUAUUGAAAACCAUAGGAAUGAAAUUAUUGUAUUUCAGCAAAGGAUCGAGGGCUUGAGGCUUAAACAAGGCAACAUACAUGUGGGAAGCAGUCAGCCUUGAGGGCAGGUAAGGACAUGCCAGGCAUGCGGCCGCUGCUCGAAGGGACUGUCCCUACUUGUUCCCCUCCUUGUUCCAUUCCAUGGGAGAUAAAUCACCAGGGCCCAGAGAUCAGAAAGAAUGUAAAAUGAGACAAGCAAAGCUGUCUCCCCCCUGCACAUGCAGGUUAUUUUUGAUGCUUCUGGGUUUAUGGGUUUCCUCCCAGGGAAGUUAACCUCAAGCCGAGACAGUCUGUAGAUAAUGUAAACCACCAUCUGGCAACCUUCCUUUUUCUAGUCUAGAUAAUCUGCAACUGUAGCGCAAUAAAAUUUGCCUUGCAACCAUCAAUUGUCUUGGUCCUUCUGACCCCAUCCGUCAGUGCUACUUCAGUUCCUUACCCCUUCCCUUCUGACCCUGGGCGGUGAGAUCCUCUUUCUCCGGCUGGUCCGCGGCAAGUGGCACUCGAACAGGGACCUGAAGCGCGAAGGCAAUUAAAAGAAGAAGAAAGUGCAGGUAAGAGAACCCUUAUGCAAAAUAUGUGUGGCCACCAGUAACAGUGAAACUAAUAGGGGCAUAAGGCAAUAGUCAGAAGUAAAAUAAGAUGGGGCAAAAGGGCUCAAAGGAGUGUGAAUUAUU